GCAGACGAUCGGAAAUGUCUGUCCAAGCAGUAAGUCUGAAGAGGAGUCAAAUGCUUCUUUUCUUAAGGACAAGCUGUGAUGGGGAGGGAAAUAAUAGUACCGAAGUCCUGAUGUCACACUGCCGAGAAAAGCUUCUAGUGAGAAAACAGCGGCCCGUACCGCAAACCGACACAGGUAGUCGAGGAGAGAAUCCUAAGGUGAGCGAGAGAACUCUCGUUAAGGAACUCGGCAAAAUGACCCCGUAACUUCGGGAGAAGGGGUGCUGAUCAUACGAUCAGCCGCAGUGAAUAGGCCCAAGCGACUGUUUAUCAAAAACACAGGUCUCUGCAAAAUCGUAAGAUGAAGUAUAGGGCUGACGCCUGCCCGGUGCUGGAAGGUUAAGAGGAGUGCUUAGCGCAAGCGAAGGUACGAAUUGAAGCCCCAGUAAACGGCGGCCGUAACUAUAACGGUCCUAAGGUAGCGAAAUUCCUUGUCGGGUAAGUUCCGACCCGCACGAAAGGCGUAACGAUUUGGGCACUGUCUCAACGAGAGACUCGGUGAAAUUUUAGUACCUGUGAAGAUGCAGGUUACCCGCGACAGGACGGAAAGACCCCAUGGAGCUUUACUGUAGUUUGAUAUUGAGUGUCUGUACCGCAUGUACAGGAUAGGUAGGAGCCGUAGAAAUCGGAACCCUUUCUUAGGU
rnacentral:rRNA from 1 species